CAUAGCUCAGCUGGAUAGAGUACUCGGCUACGAACCGAGCGGUCGGAGGUUCGAAUCCUCCUG
rnacentral:tRNA from 1 species